GACGUAGGGCGCGAGCGUUGUCCGGAUUUAUUGGGCGUAAAGAGCUCGUAGGCGGCUUGUCGCGUCGUCCGUGAAAACCUGCGGCUCAACUGCAGGCUGGCGGUCGAUACGGGCAGGCUGGAGUUCGGUAGGGGAGACUGGAAUUCCUGGUGUAGCGGUGAAAUGCGCAGAUAUCAGGAGGAACACCGGUGGCGAAGGCGAGUCCCUGGACGAUACCUGACACUGAGGCACGAAAGCUAGGGGAGCAAACAGG
rnacentral:rRNA from 1 species